UGGGGAAUAUUGCACAAUGGGCGAAAGCCUGAUGCAGCAACGCCGCGUGAGUGAUGAAGGCCUUCGGGUUGUAAAGCUCUGUCUUUUGGGACGAUAAUGACGGUACCAAAGGAGGAAGCCACGGCUAACUACGUGCCAGCAGCCGCGGUAAUACGUAGGUGGCAAGCGUUGUCCGGAUUUACUGGGCGUAAAGGAUGCGUAGGCGGAUUUUUAAGUGAGAUGUGAAAUACCCGGGCUUAACUUGGGUGCUGCAUUUCAAACUGGGAAUCUAGAGUGCGGGAGAGGAGAAUGGAAUUCCUAGUGUAGCGGUGAAAUGCGUAGAGAUUAGGAAGAACACCAGUGGCGAAGGCGAUUCUCUGGACCGUAACUGACGCUGAGGCAUGAAAGCGUGGGUAGCAAACAGGAUUAGAUACCCUGGUAGUCCACGCCGUAAACGAUGAGUACUAGGUGUAGGAGGUAUCGACCCCUUCUGUGCCGCAGUUAACACAAUCAAGUACUCCGCCUGGGAAGUACGAUCGCAAGAUUAAAAA
rnacentral:rRNA from 1 species